AGGCGUGAUGACGAGGCACUACGGUGCUGAAGCAACAAAUGCCCUGCUUCCAGGAAAAGCCUCUAAGCAUCAGGUAACAUCAAAUCGUACCCCAAACCGACACAGGUGGUCAGGUAGAGAAUACCAAGGCGCUUGAGAGAACUCGGGUGAAGGAACUAGGCAAAAUGGUGCCGUAACUUCGGGAGAAGGCACGCUGAUAUGUAGGUGAAGUCCCUCGCGGAUGGAGCUGAAAUCAGUCGAAGAUACCAGCUGGCUGCAACUGUUUAUUAAAAACACAGCACUGUGCAAACACGAAAGUGGACGUAUACGGUGUGACGCCUGCCCGGUGCCGGAAGGUUAAUUGAUGGGGUUAGCGCAAGCGAAGCUCUUGAUCGAAGCCCCGGUAAACGGCGGCCGUAACUAUAACGGUCCUAAGGUAGCGAAAUUCCUUGUCGGGUAAGUUCCGACCUGCACGAAUGGCGUAAUGAUGGCCAGGCUGUCUCCACCCGAGACUCAGUGAAAUUGAACUCGCUGUGAAGAUGCAGUGUACCCGCGGCAAGACGGAAAGACCCCGUGAACCUUUACUAUAGCUUGACACUGAACAUUGAGCCUUGAUGUGUAGGAUAGGUGGGAGGCUUUGAAGUGUGGACGCCAGUCUGCAUGGAGCCGACCUUGAAAUACCACCCUUUAAUGUUUGAUGUUCUAACGUUGACCCGUAAUCCGGGUUGCGGACAGUGUCUGGUGGGUAGUUUGACUGGGGCGGUCUCCUCCUAAAGAGUAACGGAGGAGCACGAAGGUUGGCUAAUCCUGGUCGGACAUCAGGAGGUUAGUGCAAUGGCAUAAGCCAGCUUGACUGCGAGCGUGACGGCGCGAGCAGGUGCGAAAGCAGGUCAUAGUGAUCCGGUGGUUCUGAAUGGAAGGGCCAUCGCUCAACGGAUAAAAGGUACUCCGGGGAUAACAGGCUGAUACCGCCCAAGAGUUCAUAUCGACGGCGGUGUUUGGCACCUCGAUGUCGGCUCAUCACAUCCUGGGGCUGAAGUAGGUCCCAAGGGUAUGGCUGUUCGCCAUUUAAAGUGGUACGCGAGCUGGGUUUAGAACGUCGUGAGACAGUUCGGUCCCUAUCUGCCGUGGGCGCUGGAGAACUGAGGGGGGCUGCUCCUAGUACGAGAGGACCGGAGUGGACGCAUCACUGGUGUUCGGGUUGUCAUGCCAAUGGCACUGCCCGGUAGCUAAAUGCGGAAGAGAUAAGUGCUGAAAGCAUCUAAGCACGAAACUUGCCCCGAGAUGAGUUCUCCCUGACUCCUUGAGAGUCCUGAAGGAACGUUGAAGACGACGACGUUGAUAGGCCGGGUGUGUAAGCGCAGCGAUGCGUUGAGCUAACCGGUACUAAUGAACCGUGAGG
rnacentral:rRNA from 1 species